rnacentral:lncRNA from 1 species
AUGGCGCCCAGGGAGCGGCCCCGCCCCCAAGAUGGCCGCGCCCAUGUGCCGCUGAGGACCGCAGCAGGCGCCACUACCGUUUCUUAUUCUGAGAGCCCAAGGAAGCGGACAGCGCGGCUUUGGGAGACGGAGGUUGCGCAGCAGAGCGGCGCGACAGAGGGCGCUUCGGCCUCGAAGGCGGUGGGACCGGGGCCCCUGACAGCCUCCGCUGGCGCCUCGCCGACGGGAGACGCCACCCCACCCCCACCCCGGCCCCCGCGCCGGCCUGAUGUGCGCCGAAAAUGGUUGCACGAACCGCUGUUGGCGGCGCGAACAAACCGGGGCAGAAUCGCUGCCCGCGACGCGCGCCAUCUUGGGCACUGGCAGCAGCGCCCCCCUCCUUCCCAAAGCCGAUCGUGCGCGUGCGCGGCGCUCCGACCUCGGGCUGCGGGGCGACGGGAGCGGAAGUGCUCCGCCGACCCGAGGGCGGUGCGAGGUCGCGCCGGUUGUUGUUAUCCGCCCGGACUGGCGGGUUCUGGUAGCCAAGUACGGGGAGGCGGAGCGGACACGGGCCGGAGGGGAGGGCGGGGUGAUGGGUUCGCGUCCUCUGAGGGCUCGGGGGCCCGGGGCCGAGGGGUGAGUGUGGGCGGCGCGUCGCGGGCGACGCCGAGUGACACAGUCAGUGACUUUGCUGAGGGCCUAGAUCAGGUUGCAGCGCUGAGACCACUGCUCACCAACUGCAGAUUCCAGCUCACCUGCACCUGAGCUUCCUGGUCUACAGAAGAGCCAGUCUGAGGCCUCGGAAGUCUGGAGGUACGCCGUCUUCUGGUUCUGCUACCUCGUUAUGGUGCUGCUGUCAUUGGACCUGAGGGCGUGAGUUGUGAAGCUGCACGGAGCCGAACCCUGUUGUCCCGAGGCUGCCUGCCUGGCGGGAGGGGGGGUGUGUGUGCUGUGGUGACAGCAGCUACUCUGUGCAGAAGCUCCUUGCGGAGACUCCUUUUGAAACUGCAGAGCAGGGAAGAACAGGCCGUUGAAUGGACCUCCUGGGAAAGGAGGAAGUCAGGAGCCAGGAAUGCGGUGGAGGCGGGCCAGCGAAGGGCAGCGUGUGCAGUGCAGGGUGCCAAG